AGGGGUUAGAGGCCGAAUCCCCAGCCGGGGAACGGGGGACCCAUUUUCCGGGGUGAAUCCUGCCGUGUGGCAGGUAGGGUAGUCUCUUUCAACCCGAACCCGUCAGCUAACUCCGUAGGCCAUUGAAAGAGGCAUA
rnacentral:sRNA from 2 species